rnacentral:rRNA from 1 species
UACGUAGGGUGCAAGCGUUAAUCGGAAUUACUGGGCGUAAAGCGUGCGCAGGCGGUUUUGUAAGUUUGUCGUGAAAUCCCCGGGCUCAACCUGGGAAUUGCGAUGGAGACUGCAAGGCUAGAAUCUGGCAGAGGGGGGUAGAAUUCCACGUGUGAGCAGUGAAAUGCGUAGAGAUGUGGAGGAACACCGAUGGCGAAGGCAGCCCCCUGGGUCAAGAUUGACGCUCAUGCACGAAAGCGUGGGGAGCAAACAGG